AUUGAACGCUGGCGGCAUGCCUUACACAUGCAAGUCGAGCGGCAGCACGGGAGCAAUCCUGGUGGCGAGUGGCGAACGGGUGAGUAAUAUAUCGGAACGUGCCCAGUCGUGGGGGAUAACGUAGCGAAAGCUACGCUAAUACCGCAUACGAUCUAUGGAUGAAAGCGGGGGAUCGCAAGACCUCGCGCGAUUGGAGCGGCCGAUAUCAGAUUAGGUAGUUGGUGGGGUAAAAGCCUACCAAGCCUUCGAUCUGUAGCUGGUCUGAGAGGACGACCAGCCACACUGGAACUGAGACACGGUCCAGACUCCUACGGGAGGCAGCAGUGGGGAAUUUUGGACAAUGGGCGCAAGCCUGAUCCAGCAAUGCCGCGUGCAGGAUGAAGGCCUUCGGUUG
rnacentral:rRNA from 1 species